UUCUGGUCAGUCCGUGGGUGCAAGGUGCAGAGUCCAAAUCCUGCGCCCGUCUGCGAGUGUUACGAAGCUACCAUGAGUUAUGUACGCCUCUCUAACGAAGCGUCCGCGUCUUCAACUCAGGCGGGGAAUGGGGUACUCGAGUUUCAGUUCAGGAAGGAAUGAAUCAUGGAGGCUGGAGGCGCAGCAUGUCGAUGGUGGUGGCCAGCCCGACCUGCAUCGUGGGUGGUGCCUUCGGAGCAGGCGGCAGGGAGGCUCUGACGGGCAUCCAGGAGAACGUGGCCACCAUACUAGCAAAGGAGUCCUCCGUUUUCAUCGGCGCCUUCUUCUCCAAAAGCAGCAGCUGUUACGUGUUCAAACUUGGCGUCCUUCGGAACCAAGACCUCUCUCUUUCUGAUUUCCGGAGUUUAUUCGACGACUCACCAUUGUCACCAUGAUUCUCUUUAAUACUUUUAGCUGAACCGCCGUAUUUAACUUGAUGUAUCGUUGUUCGGAAUAUUUAAUGGUACAUUAUAAUACGUCAUUUUUGCAGCAGAGAAUAACUUUCGGUACUUGCUUAGGCUUUCACUUUUCAUUCAAAAAAACAGUUUGAAGAUACCGUGAGCUAAGGCAUUUAUGAUAAAUCAACUCCAUUGACUUCCUUCGCGGAUGCCUAGGGAAGUUGAACUGGUUUGGUGGUGCACCGGGGAUGCAUUUACGUGAACCCACUUGGAUCUGUAGAAGACCUAAAGUGGUACUAAAAAACUCGGAAUUUCUUGUAUUUCCCGUUUGAUGCUUAGUUGCCUAUAAAUCCUAAAACCUUCAAAGAGGUUCUCUUUCUACAUGCAUCAGAUUUGUAAUGUACUAGAACGAUGGGAGCUGAUUGUAGACAAAAUACAUGAUUGAAGGCUCUUAUGUUUACUUAGGAUAAGGGUCUGACAAGGUUGAUGCUGGAAGCUUUUCUAUAAGCACUUUGGGACCUUCUCAAAGCUGGAGUUUCAGUCAACUAAAAGGGAGUCCGCGGUUGUUUUGUUAGUUGGAAGUGAAUUAUCUACAACCUUUUCACCUAUAGUGUUUGUCCUAUUCAAGAAAUCUCCCUUUCAAGUGGAUUGAAGGAAUUUGUUCACAUUCAAGUUAUUUGGUAAACUUAGGAUUAACCCUGAGGACAUCUCUUGCCAUUCUCCCUGCUGAAUUCAGGAUCUAUUGAAUAUUCUGCCUUAUUUUUUAUAGAAAUCCUUGAGAUUUGUCCUAGAAAUUCCCUUUCCAUGUGUACUGAAACUUAAUAGAAUAUCACAAAUAAUCUUCAUGGGGCCUAAUCCUAUGCACGUAGUGCUGAGCACCUCAGUAAAGAAAGCAUUUAUGCAGUAAAAAGAGAGAGAAUUCUUAUAGUUGGGGAUGGAUGAGGAACUGAAAUCAAGUUGCUGAACUACUUUCCUGACUCUGCCUUUUGAACAUUUUUGAACUUACCGACUCUAAAUGUUUUUGGUGAAUAUUGUAAGUAUAUGACUGUCUAUUUGUGUCAUUGUGAAUGCAUCUAUCAUGCAAUUUACUGGGUCUAUGGUGAUAGCCUGCUGGUGACUGAUAGUCCAUGAUGCUGGAUAUUAGUCCUACUCAUAACUGGAGUUCAUCAGAUUGGUUUUAUUUGAUCGAUGUUGUAUUUGGUAGACAUAAUAAUCUAGCUUUUUUUUUAUUUUUUUUGGCAAAAUUUAGGUAUGUCCAAUGAGGGUGCUCCUGCUAAAUUUGUUAACGUUUACAUUUGUUGGAACGAUACAGUAUGUGAUAUUUCAAAAAUAAGGUGAAACAUUCAUCGUGGGAUCACAGUAAGCAUGAGGGUUCAUUGUGCCCAUUUUUACUAAUACUUUUUCUGUAUGACAAAAGUUAGCCUACUUUUUCUCUUAAAUCUUGGAAAUGGGUAUUUUGUAGGUAUGCCUCCUGAGUGGUUAUUAUUACAAAAAAAAGAGUCUCAUGCAGCAUGUAAUGAAAUUGAUGGCAAAGCUAGUAACUUGAAAGAUUUUUGUUUCAAACAUCAAACAACAUAUGAACUAUAAAUGAUCAUUGCUGGUAAAUUUUGAGAUCAUGGUUCUGUAGCACAUCUUAAUUGAUUUCAUCUACUUCGACUGUCUACUUUGUGCAGAUAUGUUUAUGUCUGGCAUGCGGUGAUGGUAUACUGGGCUGGUGUCCUUCUGGCAUCACCAGAGAUGAUGAAAUACAUCCUGUUCUUCAAUAUCCAUUCCAAGGGAUGUAAGAUAGAUACUGGCAGAUAUUUUAAUUUAAAAAUGAUGUUUCUGGCUAUGUUGUAGCUCAAAAUCUAGACUAACUCAAGGUAGAUAUGCAGAAUGUAUUAAUAGGAACACUUGGAACUGGAUUUGGCAGCCAGAUUCCAGUGAAUCGCCAAUAUCAGCAUCCACUUGAAAAUUCUACUGCUAAUUAGAAGUUUCAGCGCCAAGUACUUGAUUUGCUGCAUGGGCCAUAGCAUGGAUUGCAUAUACAAUACCAUCAAGCUGUACUUUCUACAUGUAUCGCCACCCUGUUGAGGAAUUUCAUGCUUCUGCCCAUGCUGUAGGUGGUUGUGCAGUCUAUGUUAGGUAGGUUUGAUAUGUUUGCAAGUGAAUCUGCUGGGUUUCCCCCACUAUCUUCUUUGUUUCGUCCUUUUUAAAAGUAGUGUUUUGUUUACAGUGAUAAACCUGACACAAUUUCACAAUUGUGAAAAAGCCAGUGCCUCCUGAUGGAUCAGUGGUAAGAGCAAAAUGUGCUGGAAACCAUAAACGUGAUUGUUUGUUCAUCAACCCUGUUAUGGAUGAAAAUGGCCGUGCCUACCCUCUACCGAGGAAAGGCAAAGCGUAUCAGUACCCAUUACUUCCCUUGUUUCCUUGUGCGGCCUUUGAAGAUCUGGAAUAUGAAUAAGUUGUCUGGUAUCCUGGGCAUCUUCAAUAUCCAGGGGGCAGGCACUUUACCCUCUCUGGAUACAGUUCAAGAUGUCACAAGUCACAACUCCAAGUAUGUUACAGUUUACAGGCCAGAAGAGCCCCGAAGACAUUGAUCAUAUUAAACAGAUAGUGCAUGGGAAUUGGACAGGAGAUUGUGCAGUAUAUGCAUUUAAUGUAGUUGUCCAUUAAAGGAAGAGGCUGGGGCUGAUACGGAUCAUAUCUAAGAGUGAAAACAAGGAAAAGUUUGGGGUGAGCUUAUGUAAGAGUGAAAACAAGGAGAUGUCUGUGCCCGUCAAUGUGAUAGAUGAUAGUUUAUGUUUGAUGGCGGAGCUAGGUCAUUUGUCCCUCUGUGAAAGCUUGAUUUGUAUUUUUGAGGUACAAAUUUGGAUAGGACCUGCUACUUUUUCAGGCUUGAACUAUACAGCCCUUGUUGGAAACAUUCUUCACUCGCCUGCCUGCCAAUAUUUGGUAAAGCUGUCCUGCUUCAAGGCUAUAAUCUAUGUUUUUGUUAUAGCCCUCUCUCUCUCUCUGCUGCAGAUAUUAGAUUCAUUUUCCUGUUAGUCUAUUUUUUCUCAUGUACUACUCUGCUGCUUGAUGCUUUCUCAUAAUGUUGUCCUGGCAAGGCCCUUUCAUGGUGCUCUUUGUCAUGUCAUUGUCUUGUUAGA